UGCGGAUGGGCUCGACACCGUCCCUCUCUCCCCGGACCGUCCUCUCCGACGAUUGUCGAGGCGGCGGCAGUGACGGCGAUGGUGCCGGAGGGACGACCCGGAGACAAGGGCUACUCGCCUCUCGUACGUGGAGUACUCCCCCCUUUCCCUCUUCAUGGGGUAGUGAUCAGGAGGCGAAUUGGGCAGUGCGGCGAUACAGUGCGAGCUCGGCGACGGCAACGACCUUAUCCGGCGUCCCUGUACGCCGCCGGAGGGUUCUUGAUUUUUUGAGGAUGGACAAAGAAAGAGGAAGUAGACCAAGAAAGGAGAUGAAAGAAAAGAGGGGAGCUUGCGUGUUUGAGGGGGUGAUGGAGUAGACCUUCGCUCGAUUGUGGGAUCAUUUGAAGGAGGUGGAAAUCAUGCAGGAGGAGAAGAAGAGGAGAAGCUCAACGAUGCGGAGGAACAACAUUAGUAUCUUCUUCGAUCCAGCCAAAGAAGAAGGCACUGAAGGAAACCAUAAAGGAUAAAACACAAGAAAAUUUGAAAGAACGAGACGAAUGCUGCGAGCAACGAAGAAAUCACUCCCGAAUAAGAAGUACAAAUCAUUCAAGCCCAAGUAAGUUUUAUCUUAAUGCACAAUCUCACUAACUCCCUAUACCGUUUUGUUAGGUUUCCAGUCCUUCAAACACUGUCAUCGGGGCUGAUCUUACCUCUGAAUAGAUUGAAAUUUAAACUUUUUGAUUCAAGGAUCUUGCUAAAGGACAUGAAUGUGUCUUUUCUUAAACGUUGACUCGUCCUGAACACUACAGUGAGGCUGCAGAACUCUGUAGUGAGACAUGGUAGCAACUAGCGAAUGGCAAGAUGCAGAAUAUGGUUUUCCUUAUCCAAUUCAUAGAAGCACUAACCUUCUGUGAAAGCACGACAUAAACUUGCAGUACACUAAACUUUCUCAGGUUUGCUUCUCACAUUUUUACACCGAGCUUAAGGCGAAUGAUAAAUGGUUAAGCACCUAUUUAUUUGUAGUUUUGAUCUGUUGAUACACACUGAACAGAAGGAUAUAGCUGGAUGUGCUCCUAUUUUACGUCGAUGUAAACAAGCGAUGCAAUUGAUGUCGCAUGCAAGUUUGGAAUAUGUAUUUCUUGUACAUGCUCCUAUUUUUUGUUGGCCCCAUAUCUCUUACCUUGUCUAUCAGAAUUUGUACAUUAGCUCGUGAAUGUGGCUGAAUCCAUAUGGUACGCUAGAUUUUUGUAUGUGGCUGGUUGGAAACAUUUGUUGGUAUACACGGACCAUCUCCUAGCUUGUCAAUAUUCAUGGAAGCCGAGUUAGAUUUAUUUUAGUUACCAUCAGGUGGACCCUGACCCUCAUCAAGCCUGUCAAACUUUGCUAAUUUUUUUAACCCGCCCUUAGUCCAGGAAAAAAAUCUUCUAUAACAAUAAAUUUUCAUUUUUCAUUCAGGUUGUUUGUUUUUUGUAGCAUAAAUCAUAUUGGAAUGUACUUUUUUGGCAAGUAAUUAUGUGUGCCUGGUCAAUUAUGUGUUUCAUUUUGAUGACUCUUUGGUGCCAGACAAUGUCUAGUUCAAUAUGAUGACUUCCAGUGUUGUACCUCACACAACUUGAUAAAAGACACGGUUUAGUGUGCAUUGAAACAGUGAUUACAGAGUUUGGCCUGUUUAUCUUAUUUCUCUCUAUAUUUUUGAUUCAUACCAUGGAGCCAGCGUGUUAUGGGUUCAUGUGAUUCCGAUAAAUUUCGUGCAUCCAAAAUCCCUCUAUGAUAUCUUUGAUUUUGACAUUGUUUCCAGUUUAGGAUACCGAAGCCUGCUAAUCCUUUAAGGGCCUGUUCGGAAGUGCUCCGGCUCCGCGCUUCUCCGAAAGCGGGUGAGGAGCUGGCCGAACACCGGCAGCUUCAAGAAGCCUGCUCCGCGGAGCAAUUCUGGACGCAGUGCAAUUUUCUGGAGCUACUCCAGCCCAAGCUUCGUGAAAACCAGGAGCAGAAGUUGCUCUUUAUUACAUCCCAAUGCCCUUCCGAAGUGGCAUGCAUAACGAUUCGAUAUGAGCGGAGCGAACCAGCGUCCUCGCAGGGUGAUUUGACUAUGGGGUCCUCUCCUCUCUGGCCCAUGUUGACGGAGCAGAAUCUGCCGCUGCUGCCGAACGCUUAUCACCUCCCGUGAGAAGCUGGCCACUUGGGAAGCGAGAGAGCUUCCGAACGGGCCCUAAGUGUUAUAUGUGCUUCUUUGUUGGUGGCCUCCUUUUAUUCGUAUACUUCUAAGAACUGAAAAUAUUCUGUUUUUCAGGUAUCUGUUCAAGCGGAUGACGGUUAAUGUAUGAGGGAUAGAGAAUUACAGAGCAAUGUCUUCAUCUUUAAUAACCAGAAGAAAUAUUCAUGUUUUGGUUAGAAGAAAAGUGAACCUAAAGGGUACAGUACUAUUAAUAGGAUACUAUGUUGGUUACAGGCUUACAGCCCAUGGAUAAUAAUGUUUCAGUCGCUGGAGAGAUUGCUGAAUAGAUAAGUUGAUGUAAAAUUUCUGGUCACCUGCAAAUUAAGCUGCUUGAAGAUCAAGUUCGACAGUAAUCAGCUUUCAAGUUAGGUAGUAUUCCGUUUUAGAAUGUGUAAUUAUAUGCCUAAUAUUGUUGAUCAAUUUAUUAUUUGCAACUUCUAUAGGAAAAAAAUUCCCCUUGUAGAACAAUUAUGUAUCUCGGGGACAUGAGUGUUUUUGGUAGCAUUUAGAUAGUCUUUGGUGGUGUAGCUAUGAUACAGUUGAAUAAGUGUUACGGAUGAUAGACCUUCCUAUUGAUGUAUCUCCACUCCAUGAUAUUGGAAUUUUGUAAAGCAUCGAGUUGUAUUAGUAGGAUUGAACAGGAAAUAUUAUUCUGGUUGCAUGAGUGUUUUGUCACCUCACAGUACAUUGAGAAGGCCAAUGAAGAAACUUCUAAGAGUACAAAACACGCACCUAUAAAAAGUACAAACUAUACAUACAGUUGAAUGUGUAUUACAGAGGUAUCUAUUGUUGUCGUCAAGUGCUUAGGGAAUCGUCGGUGUUGUUGUUCAUCGUUAACACAUUCUUUGGAUUUUUCAGAGCUAUCUAUUGAAAUAUGAUUACGUUCUUUGUCCUUGGGAACUUUUUACCACUGCCAUAGAUAAUCGUCUAUUUAUUUCUGUCUAAUAUUUAUUUAUUUUUUCUAAUAUUUAUGUAGUUCCUUGUAACAUGUGGCUGAUGGAUUAUGAAG